rnacentral:rRNA from 1 species
GUGAGGAAUAUUGGACAAUGGGCGCAAGCCUGAUCCAGCCAUGCCGCGUGCAGGAAGACGCAUCUAUGGUGUGUAAACUGCUUUUGUACGGGAAGAAACACUCCCUCGUGAGGGAGCUUGACGGUACCGUAAGAAUAAGGAUCGGCUAACUCCGUGCAAGCAGCCGCGGUAAUACGGAGGAUCCAAGCGUUAUCCGGAAUAAUUGGGUUUAAAGGGUCCGUAGGCGGUUUAAUAAGUCAGUUGUGAAAGCCCAUCGCUCAACGAUGGAACGGCCAUUGAUACUGUUAGACUUGAAUUACAAGGAAGUAACUAGAAUAUGUAGUGUAGCGGUGAAAUGCUUAGAUAUUACAUGUAAUACCAAUUGCGAAGGCAGGUUACUACUUGUGGAUUGACGCUGAUGGACGAAAGCGUAGGGAGCGAACAGGAUUAGAUACCCUGGUAGUCC